rnacentral:lncRNA from 1 species
GUCAUGGUGUUUAUGUAACAUGGUCAUUCAGUUAUCUGAAUGAAGUGUUUAUUCACAUCAUAAACCCCACUGGCUAAAUUUGUACAUGGUCAAUAAAAUUUUAUACAUGGUCAUUUAUUCGGACAAGUAAAACUAAACUCUGAUUAUAUUAUACUUCAAACUUUGAAGAACAUUUAAAGAAAAUCUCUCUAUAAUAAUACUCCCCCACUCCAUUUAAUUUUGGAGCUCCAAAAUUUUAGGGAAAAGACAAAUCAACA